UGGGGAAUAUUGCACAAUGGGCGAAAGCCUGAUGCAGCGACGCCGCGUGAGGGAUGACGGCCUUCGGGUUGUAAACCUCUUUCAGUAGGGACGAAGCGCAAGUGACGGUACCUGCAGAAGAAGCACCGGCUAACUACGUGCCAGCAGCUGCGGUAAUACGUAGGGUGCGAGCGUUGUCCGGAAUUACUGGGCGUAAAGAGCUCGUAGGCGGUUUGUCACGUCGUCUGUGAAAUCCUAGGGCUUAACCCUGGACGUGCAGGCGAUACGGGCUGACUUGAGUACUACAGGGGAGACUGGAAUUUCUGGUGUAGCGGUGGAAUGCACAGAUAUCAGGAAGAACACCGAUGGCGAAGGCAGGUCUCUGGGUAGUAACUGACGCUGAGGAGCGAAAGCAUGGGUAGCGAACAGG
rnacentral:rRNA from 1 species